AUUGAACGCUAGCGGGAUGCCUUACACAUGCAAGUCGAACGGAGUGGCGAACGGGUGAGUAAUGUAUCGGAACGUGCCCAGUAGCGGGGGAUAACUACGCGAAAGCGUAGCUAAUACCGCAUACUAUUGGAGCGGCCGAUCUCGGAUUAGCUAGUUGGUGGGGUAACGGCGCCCCAAGGCGACGAUCCGUAGCUGGUUUGAGAGGACGACCAGCCACACGGGGGCGGAGACAAGGCCCAGACGCCUACGGGUGGCACCAGUGGGGAAUUGUGGACAAGGGGGGAAAACCUGAUCCAGCCAGCCCGCGUGUGCGAUGAAGGCCUUGGGGUUGGAAGGCACUUUUGGCAGGAAAGCGGUACCUGCAGAAUAAGCACAGGCUAACUACGUGCCAGCAGCCGCGGUAAUUC
rnacentral:rRNA from 1 species